rnacentral:lncRNA from 1 species
AGAUCCCUUUGGAGAUGCUGCUCCUUGUGAUAGUGCUUGCAUACCAGAAGGGAUCCAUGGUGUCCAUCAUGCUUUUCCUUCCAGGGCUGAGACCACCUGCUGCAGGCUGGCACACACAGACUUACCCCCAGGGCACUUUAAUGUACCAUAGCUCUUCAGUAUUUUGAAUAUUACUCUUGCCUUUUUGUAUGCUUGUGCUAAUUAUUUUGUGCAACCCAAAGAACAGGACUGGACCCAUGCAUUAUGGUGGAAAUAUUGAAAGGAUCACAUAGGUUAAACUGGGAACUGAAAGUAUUUGGAAGAGGAGCCACAUCUGGGGCCCUUUCUUCUCUAUCUCCCUCUCUUGUUGGCUGCAUGGAACCUCAUGCAAACUUGCAGAAUGUCUGCUUCUAUUUGGUGCUUUGUCUAAUCAUGGAGGGGCUAUUAUGAUCCAGCUGCCGUGUUAGUGUUAGGCUCUGAAGGUUGAGCAAUCUGAUUAGCCUAGUGUAACUUUUUUGAGCUGUGAAUGGACCAACUUGGAUCAAGAGGCCAUGGAGUUUAAUCGUCCAUUUACAUACUGGGAAUGUUCAUGGGUUCCAAGAUUCUGCGGGUCUGGCAGGCAAUUAUGGCUUAUUUCUCAGAUCAUCAACCAGUAUCCAUGCUCAGAGUGUUGAUUCAAAUAGCAGCUGAUAAGCAUAGGAGCAUUUAUAAAAUUGGAAAAAUUUUAAAUAAAGAUAGUUCUGUUAGACCAAA